UGGGGAAUAUUGCACAAUGGGCGAAAGCCUGAUGCAGCAACGCCGCGUGAGUGAUGAAGGUCUUCGGAUUGUAAAGCUCUGUCUUUUGGGACGAUAAUGACGGUACCAAAGGAGGAAGCCACGGCUAACUACGUGCCAGCAGCCGCGGUAAUACGUAGGUGGCGAGCGUUGUCCGGAUUUACUGGGCGUAAAGGGUGCGUAGGCGGAUGUUUAAGUGAGAUGUGAAAUACCCGGGCUUAACUUGGGUGCUGCAUUUCAAACUGGAUAUCUAGAGUGCAGGAGAGGAGAAUGGAAUUCCUAGUGUAGCGGUGAAAUGCGUAGAGAUUAGGAAGAACACCAGUGGCGAAGGCGAUUCUCUGGACUGUAACUGACGCUGAGGCACGAAAGCGUGGGUAGCAAACAGGAUUAGAUACCCUGGUAGUCCACGCCGUAAAACGAUGAGUACUAGGUGUAGGAGGUAUCGACCCCUUCUGUGCCGCAGUAAACACAUUAAGUACUCCGCCUGGGAAGUACGAUCGCAAGAUUAAAACUCUAAAGUGAA
rnacentral:rRNA from 1 species